UGCGCAGGCGGGAAAUUAAGUCAGUGGUGAAAUCCUGCAGCUCAACUGUAGAAUUGCCAUUGAUACUGAUUUUCUUGAGUGCAGUUGAGGUGGGCGGAAUGUGUAAUGUAGCGGUGAAAUGCUUAGAUAUUACACAGAACACCGAUUGCGUAGGCAGCUCACUAAACUGUUACUGACGCUCAGGCACGAAAGCGUGGGGAGCGAACAGGAUUAGAUACCCUGGUAGUCC
rnacentral:rRNA from 1 species